rnacentral:rRNA from 1 species
GAUGAACGCUAGCUACAGGCUUAACACAUGCAAGUCGAGGGGCAGCAUGUCGGUUGCUUGCAACCGAUGAUGGCGACCGGCGCACGGGUGAGUAACGCGUAUCCAACCUACCCUUGUCCAUCGGAUAACCCGUCGAAAGGCGGCCUAACACGAUAUGCGGUUCUCAGCAGGCAUCUAACGAGAACGAAAUGUGAAGGAGAAGGAUGGGGAUGCGUCUGAUUAGCUUGUUGGCGGGGUAACGGCCCACCAAGGCGACGAUCAGUAGGGGUUCUGAGAGGAAGGUCCCCCACAUUGGAACUGAGACACGGUCCAAACUCCUACGGGAGGCAGCAGUGAGGAAUAUUGGUCAAUGGACGGGAGUCUGAACCAGCCAAGUAGCGUGCAGGACGACGGCCCUAUGGGUUGUAAACUGCUUUUAUAGGGGGAUAAAGUGUGCCACGUGUGGCAUAUUGCAGGUACCCUAUGAAUAAGGACCGGCUAAUUCCGUGCCAGCAGCCGCGGUAAUACGGAAGGUCCGGGCGUUAUCCGGAUUUAUUGGGUUUAAAGGGAGCGUAGGCCGUCUUAUAAGCGUGUUGUGAAAUGUCGGGGCUCAACCUGGGCAUUGCAGCGCGAACUGUGAGACUUGAGUGCGCAGGAAGUAGGCGGAAUUCGUCGUGUAGCGGUGAAAUGCUUAGAUAUGACGAAGAACUCCGAUUGCGAAGGCAGCCUGCUGUAGCGCAACUGACGCUGAAGCUCGAAAGCGUGGGUAUCGAACAGG